AAUUCGUUGCACUAUCGUUAACUGAAUACAUAGGUUAACGAGGCGAACCGGGGGAACUGAAACAUCUAAGUACCCCGAGGAAAAGAAAUCAACCGAGAUUCCCCCAGUAGCGGCGAGCGAACGGGGAGCAGCCCAGAGUCUGAAUCAGCUUGUGUGUUAGUGGAACGGUCUGGAAAGUCCGACGGUACAGGGUGAUAGUC
rnacentral:rRNA from 2 species